ACCCGCUGAACUUAAGCAUAUCAAUAAGCGGAGGAAAAGAAACCAACAGGGAUUGCCUUAGUAACGGCGAGUGAAGCGGCAAAAGCUCAAAUUUGAAAUCUGGCACCUUCGGUGUCCGAGUUGUAAUUUGAAGAAGGUAACUUUGGAGUUGGCUCUUGUCUAUGUUCCUUGGAACAGGACGUCACAGAGGGUGAGAAUCCCGUGCGAUGAGAUGCCCAAUUCUAUGUAAAGUGCUUUCGAAGAGUCGAGUUGUUUGGGAAUGCAGCUCUAAGUGGGUGGUAAAUUCCAUCUAAAGCUAAAUAUUGGCGAGAGACCGAUAGCGAACAAGUACAGUGAUGGAAAGAUGAAAAGAACUUUGAAAAGAGAGUGAAAAAGUACGUGAAAUUGUUGAAAGGGAAGGGCUUGAGAUCAGACUUGGUAUUUUGCGAUCCUUUCCUUCUUGGUUGGGUUCCUCGCAGCUUACUGGGCCAGCAUCGGUUUGGAUGGUAGGAUAAUGACUAAGGAAUGUGGCUCUACUUCGGUGGAGUGUUAUAGCCUUGGUUGAUACUGCCUGUCUAGACCGAGGACUGCGUC
rnacentral:rRNA from 1 species